AGCGAACGCUGGCGGCGUGCCUAACACAUGCAAGUCGAACGUGAAAGGGAGCAAUCCCAAGUAAAGUGGCGUACGGGUGAGUAACACGUAGGUAAUCUACCCCAGAAUCUGGAAUAACCGGCCGAAAGGCUGGCUAAUACUGUAUAGAGCGACGGAAUCCGUAAUUUGGUUUUUCUGGGAAGGGAUCCGGUAAAAAGGCCUUCGUUCUGGGAUGAGCCUGCGUCGCAUCAGCUAGGUGGUGAGGUAAAAGCUUACCAAGGCAAUGACGGGUAGCUGGUAGGAGAGGACGGUCGGCCAGACUGGAACUGAGACACGGUCCAGAGUCACACGGGAGGGAGCAGUGCGGCAUCUUGAGCAAUGGAUGAAAGUCAGAGCAAGAAACGCGGAGUGCGUGAAGAAGGACUUCGGGUUGUAAAGCUCUGUCGAGUGGGAGGAAACUGCUUGGAGCUCACAGGUACAGGAACUGACGGUAACAGUAAAGGAAGCACCGGCUAACUACGUG
rnacentral:rRNA from 1 species